ensembl:lncRNA
CCACGUUUUAGGAAUGGUAGGAAAAAAAAAAAACUCUCCUGUAACUGGUGGGAUGUAUUUGUGUCUCUGUUAAUCAAAAUAUGUGUACUCUAACAUUAGCUGAGAUUGGAAGAUGAAAUUUUCCAGGGACUAUAGUGUUAUAAAUUGCCAUGACUCAUAACAUAUUCCAAUAAAUAAUCCCUGUCUACGGGUAGCAUAUUGUAAUGGAUGCAGAAUGCUUACUCCAACGGUCUUUGACCCCAGUAUCUCUUAUGUGAACUCCACUUUAUGAAGUUUAUUUUCAUAGUUGAAAUGUUAGGUGAAAUCAUAAUAUUUACUAUUACAGAUUUGUUCAAAGCUGGUGUAAUAUAUUGCUAGGCAACAAUCAGUGAGGGGAAAAAAAGAAAAAGUGUUGUCUUCGUUCAGUCAGUUAGCUAAGAGAACAAAUAAUAAAUGUGUGUGUUUAGAUAAUACCCUCCUGAAAGCCCUAGUUGCAUGGAUACAGCAUUGUUAAUGGAAGCAUGCUUUUCUUCUCCAGAAGUAUUUACAUGAAUGUAGCUUGUGACUGUAAUGACUGACAGCCUUUGACAUAAAAAUAAUCUUCAUACCCUAAAGGCAGAGGAGUUCUCAGUCUCUCCUAAGUGUGUUCUACUUUGUUUGGAAUUAUUUUUGAGAAAGCAGAAAGACCAUGGCUUUUCAUCGCAUAAAUGAAAAUCAUUAGGCUGAAAGGAUCACUCUUUAUUCUCUGAAUAAAUAUGUAUCCUAUUGAAAGUGAAAUAUACCCAGAGGGAGGAACAAGGAGACACACACCUGAGUAUGUAUGAGUACUGCCUAUACAUGUUUUCUCUGUUCACUUAGUGAAGUACACUUUCUCUGUGCUCUUAGAUGUAAAUCUCUGUUUCAAGCUCUUAGAAGAAGGUUCCAAAAGCUAAGUGAUGGGAGUGGGAUCUGGGAGAAAUUUUGCUUGCUGACUUCAAAUGGGAAAGGCUGCUUUUCUCAUCCCAUAGUUAGAAAAUUCUUCUCCAUAGUGACCAUGAUGCAAACAUUUUCCACAAAGUUAUUUCUUAGCCAGUCCCUUCCCAGCCUCUGCUAUUUCAUAGGCUUCUAUUGCUCCAGAUAUAGAACCUGUGCUUUUUCUUAUCACCUCUUCUCCAGUUUCUGUUGGAUCAGUUCCCAACUGUAUCAAGGUUCUCUGGACUGAGUAUCUGUUGUGAUUUGAUGAGAUUUAUUGGUCACGGGGCUGUAU